rnacentral:rRNA from 1 species
UGGUCACCGUAGCUCUAUUUGAGAGCGCAUUGAUUGCGCGCGCGAUAAACCUAUACACACAUUGUCAUAGUUUUUUUGAACUUUGCUUUGGGUGGUGAGCCUGGCUUACUGCCCAAAGGUCUAAACACAUUUUUUUAAUGUUAAAACCUUUAACCAAUAGUCAUGAAAAUUUUUAACAAAAAUUAAAAUCUUCAAAACUUUCAACAACGGAUCUCUUGGUUCUCGCAACGAUGAAGAACGCAGCGAAAUGCGAUACGUAUUGUGAAUUGCAGAUUUUCGUGAAUCAUCGAAUCUUUGAACGCACAUUGCACCCUCUGGUAUUCCAGAGGGUAUGCCUGUUUGAGCGUCAUUUCUCUCUCAAACCUUCGGGUUUGGUAUUGAGUGAUACUCUGUCAAGGGUUAACUUGAAAUAUUGACUUAGCAAGAGUGUACUAAUAAGCAGUCUUUCUGAAAUAAUGUAUUAGGUUCUUCCAACUCGUUAUAUCAGCUAGGCAGGUUUAGAAGUAUUUUAGGCUCGGCUUAACAACAGUUAACUAACAGUUUGACCUCCAAUCGGGUAGGACUACCCGCUGGACUUAAGCAUAUGAAACCCGGGGGAGAAAAGAAAUCCUAUGGUUAUUCUAUUGCCGCGCUUAAAUGCGCGGCGAUAAACCUUACACACAUGUCUAGUUUUUUUUGAACUUUGCUUUGGGUGGUGAGCUGGCUUACUGCCCAAAGGUCUAAACACAUUUUAAUGUAAACUUUCACAUAGUCAUGAAAAUUUCAACAAAAAUAAAUCUUCAAACUUCACACGACUUGUUCUGCACGAUAAAAGCACGCAAGGGAAUCAUGGG